rnacentral:tRNA from 1 species
UGGCUCAGGUCGUAGAGCGUGGCACUUGCAAAGCCAGGGUUGUGGGUUUGAUUCCCAC